CAGAGCCACAGGCAGAGAGGGAGCCAGGUGGGCUCUUAAGGGAGGUCUCCAUCCAACUGUCCCCCGACUACAGAUGGGCAAGCUGAGCGGUGAAACCUGCCUCUUCCUUCGCCUGAUGCUCACAGGCACACUCCGUUGGCACAGGAGACAGGUAGGUGUGCAGCAGGACCCUAUGGCAGCAGAGACUACAGUCGUCAGACAAUCAGGGGAUUGUUGGCUUAGAUCCACGUCUUCCUGACAUCCUCAGAACCAUCCUAACAGUGAAUCUGGAUCUGGCUAAACCUCGGUGAGGAAGGUGAGAUGGCAGGUGACCAUGUGACCUCUGACACUAACGUGCUGCUCUUCACUCCUUCCGUGGGGUUGUGGACGUUCUGCCUCAGAGUUCCCAGAUCCUAGGAUGUGAAUGCUGGACAGGACCUUGUGGGCUGCCUGCUGGUCCUAUUGUGGCAACCCAUCAAGCACCACCUCUGCCUGAAGCAGUGGAUGAGGCUGAGUCAGAGCUCAGAUGAACAACAGUGUGGUCCUUCUGCUCCCAGCCCUGUUUUACAGAUGAGAAAAUGAAACCUUAGGGAUGAUGCAGCUCAUCUGAAAUCACGAGCUAGAGGCAAGGAAACCAGGAUUAAGACCCUGGCUACAAGCUUCAAGAACCUUGCAGACCUUAACAUCACACUGCUCCCUAAAACUAGCCAGCUGUUGCAGCAGUCCUCAUAUCCAUACUGCCAAAAGGAUCCUUGUGACCUCAGGCAAAUCCACCUUCUCACUUCUACACAGGACCAGGACUAGGGAUGCUAAGACCCCUUCCUGUGAACCAACACCUGGCCCUGCAACCUGAGUUACAUCAUUCUAGUUCAACUUGCCUAGCCUUCUCUGUACUUCGAUUUCCCCCUCAAUAAAGCAAGAUGAUCACAUUCCCCCUAUAACUAACAUUAAUCAUUUUCUUCCUGUCGACUGCUAUCCAAUCCAAAAAGUUGACCCUGGUUCAGGAACCAGUCUUGGAUGAUGCAUGUGAAGAGUACGUAAAAAACCUUUCCUUUCAUCCACCUACUGAGAAUUCAUCAAAAUCAUCUGAGGAAAGGAAUGGAGCAUUCUUCCAGGUCAAUAGACUGCAGCUCCUGGGGGAUGAACAGCUUUAAUCAGCAAGUCCUGUCAAAACCUAAGUGAUCACUCACAUAUACCUGCUUUGUUUCCCAAGCAACUAACAGGAGUUGCAGGAUAAGCUCCUAACUUGAGCCACCUGGUCUUCAAACCAGAAAGGUGCUCUCAUGAGCUUACAACAGCCUUGUCUAGCCACAGAAUU